rnacentral:lncRNA from 1 species
AAUCUUUCAACUAGGUAUUUAAGAUUUAGAAAUGCUGAAAUUUUGCCCCCGUUUCUCCCAUAUUUUUUUUCUCCUCCCUCUCUCUCCUCUCUCUCUUCACUCUCUUUUUCUCCAUAACCGCCGCCCCUCCACCGCCACCGGAAAUCGCCGACCGGCGGCGGACCACCUCCAAACCAUCUCAAAAUUUCACCAUGUAAUCUCCAAUACCUCCUAUUUCCAUAUCUCCAAACAAAAUCCUUCAAAACCCCCUCAACUCCACGAAUUUUAGAUCUAGAAAACCUAGCGCCACUUUUCUUUCUCAAAUUUGUGAAGUUCCGGUCACCACCACCUUACAACACAUACAUAAACGAAUAGAUCUCCUCGAGAUCUACCCUUUCAUACCCAUUCCCCCUCCCCCCCACCCCCAAAAAAAAAUGCACCACCACCGGCCGCCACCUCACCGCCGUUUGUUUCCUCGUCUUUUAUUUUAUUUUUAUUUUUUGAUCCAAAGGCAUUUGUUUCCUUUUGGAAAGACGCCAAAAUUUAUUGGUUUAGCGCUUUCCAAAGAGAAAUAGGUGCCUCGGGGUCGGACAACCACCACUUGGCAUUUUGGCAUUGUCUCGUUAUUCGAUUCGACGUCGGAUUUCCUGUAGUUUGGUAUAAGUUUGCACCCUAAUCUUUUUCCUUUUUUUUAUUCAGAAUUUCUGUUUUGUUUUAUUUUAUUUUAUUUUAUUUAUCUCUGAGUAUAAGUUUUAGUUUUAAUUUUCUGUUUUUCAAUUAGUUUGUUAAGCCAUAAUCGUUAGUUUGAGUUUACUUUCAUUAGCAUUCUUCAAUGUUAGUCGUUGCUUAAUAUUUUCGAAUUAGGUACUUAGUCAUUUGUUUAGGUUGCUACUAAUCGUUUUCCGAUAGUGUAUAAAUAUUUAUUUAAGUUAUAUUUUAGGUAGCAUUUCUUAAUUCCAACCGUCUGUUGUUAUUUUCCAUAAAUCGAUUGGCUUUAGUUUAGUUUGUGUGAAUACCUAGUUUGGGUCCAUUUAAAGUUUCGUCUUUGUUUUGUCAAUUAUAGUUUGUUUGAGUUUGAAUUACAUAACUUGGUAUUAAUAUUUGUAAGAGCUGAAGUUUAUGUUAUUUUAUCACAAAAUAGGGUGCUAGUAGCCUACUUUUACUAGUACGGUGGCUGAAAUGACAUUUUUUCUCCUUGCUUCUGACAUAGCAGAUUUCCUUUCACCUUUUAGACAAAUUUUGAACAGUGUUUAGCACACAAUGUCAGUCCUUGUCGGGAAGACUUUUGGUGAAUCAAAAUCUGUCCAAAAAAGUAAUUUUCUUUGCCUACUUAAGGCCUGCCCUUUCCUCACUUUAGGGGGACUCAAUCAGAUAUUUGUUGGACAAAUUUUACACCCAAAAAAAAACAUUUUGAGAGUGAAAAAUCAGCAACUAAAGCACCCUUUAGUAAGCUGAAAUGGUGAGCUUUAUGAGUAAAUUUUAGAGUGCAAACUUUUAGAAAAAUAUAAGUCUUCUUUAGAGUUGAUUCUGGGUUUAUUCUCUAAGGUUUUCGAGUUGUUUUAAACACGAAACUGCUGUUGUUUUCUACUGUGCUUUUUUUCUUUGCGGAGCUCCAUUUUUCACUGCUAUAUUUAUUUUCUGCAAUUCAGGUAUUUCUCAAAUUUUGCAAUGCAGAUUUUUAUAUCCAAUGGAUGAGAAUAUGAGUCUCUUCCAGCUCAUAGGAUAUGCUCGAUGUGCUUUACUGGAAUGAAUGAAUAUUUAGCGUGUUACUUAUGUUUAAAGCAUGUACAUCUAUAAUAUUUGGUUAAUCUUCCAUUUUUCUUCACAUAUGUAGCUCAAACAACAUUAUGUGAAGUUUAUCUAGUUAAGGAAAAGAAACAUUUUGUUUUCCAGAAAUAUUUAUAUGUAGAUGUUUAGUUUCUU